GUAACAAGGUUUCCGUAGGUGAACCUGCGGAAGGAUCAUUACCGAGUGAGGGCCCUCUGGGUCCAACCUCCCACCCGUGUCUAUCGUACCUUGUUGCUUCGGCGGGCCCGCCGUUUCGACGGCCGCCGGGGAGGCCCUGCGCCCCCGGGCCCGCGCCCGCCGAAGACCCCAACAUGAACGCUGUUCUGAAAGUAUGCAGUCUGAGUUGAUUAUCGUAAUCAGUUAAAACUUUCAACAACGGAUCUCUUGGUUCCGGCAUCGAUGAAGAACGCAGCGAAAUGCGAUAAGUAAUGUGAAUUGCAGAAUUCAGUGAAUCAUCGAGUCUUUGAACGCACAUUGCGCCCCCUGGUAUUCCGGGGGGCAUGCCUGUCCGAGCGUCAUUGCUGCCCUCAAGCACGGCUUGUGUGUUGGGCCCCCGUCCCCCUCUCCCGGGGGACGGGCCCGAAAGGCAGCGGCGGCACCGCGUCCGGUCCUCGAGCGUAUGGGGCUUUGUCACCUGCUCUGUAGGCCCGGCCGGCGCCAGCCGACACCCAACUUUAUUUUUCUAAGGUUGACCUCGGAUCAGGUAGGGAUACCCGCUGAACUUAAGCAUAUCAAUAA
rnacentral:misc_RNA from 1 species